AUAAAGUUUAAUUUUAGUUUAAUGAUUUAUUUAAUUUUUUUUUUACAUGUAAAUUUUAGUAUGAAUAUAAGAAUAAUUUAAAUAAUUAUUUUUAAAAAUUUUAUUCGCAGUAUGAAAUUUUAUUAAUUUAAGAGAUUAGGAAUUAUAAAUAAAUUUAAAUAUUAACAAAAUUUGUGCCAGCAGUUGCGGUUAUACAAAAAAUAUAAAUAAAUUUUAUUAGUAAAUAAUGAAAUGAUUUUAAUUUAAUAAAAAUAAAAUUUAUAAAGUGAAAUUUAAAAUUUUAAAUAAUUAUUAUUAAAGUUAUUGAUGUUAUGAAAUUUAUGAAUUAAACUAGGAUUAGAUACCCUAUUAUUAUAAAUGUAAAUUUUUACUAAAGUAGUAUUAGUUAUGAUCUUGAAAUUUAAAAAUUUUGGCGGUAUUUUAGUCUAUUCAGAGGAACCUGUUCUAUAAUUGAUAGUCCACGAUAAAAUAUACUUUAAUUAUUAGUUUAUAUAUCGUCGUUAUUAAAUAUUUUAUAAGAAUUAAAAUAUUUAAGAUUUUUUAUUAAAAAAUAUAUCAGAUCAUGGUGUAGUUUAUAUUAAAGAAGAAAUGGGUUACAAUAAAUUUAUUUAUGGAUUUUUAUAUAAAAAUAUAAAAUGAAAUUGGAUUUGAUAGUAAUAAAUUUUAUAUUAGAUUUAUGAUUUUAGCUCUAAAAUGUGUACAUAUCGCCCGUCACUCUUAUUAUAAGAUAAGAUAAGUCGUAACAUAGUAGAUGUACUGGAAAGUGUAUCUAGAAUGU
rnacentral:ncRNA from 1 species